AUGUGUCCAAUGGAGUUAAAUGGUCCUCCACUUGGCCAACCAACAACUCCUGCACCUGUUGAGCAAUCUCAUGCACAAGUGCCCACACAAGAUGACUUUGAUGAUAUAGACAAGCUCACAUUGCUUAGUCUCGAGUUCACUUGGAGUGUUGAAGAUGAUCCAAUUAGGCCGGUGAUACUAGAGGAAAUGAAGAAGAUCAAGAGUGGAAAAGAGCUAGUGGAAGAAGUAAGGAAGAUUGAGAAGAACAUCAACGCUGGCAGUACUAUCUCUUCCCUCCUUGAGUUGAGUGUUGCUGGGAUAUCCCUUGAGGUGUGUGAGGUUCCAACACCUUCACAUUCAGCUGAGCAAGAUAGCGAGAGUCCAGAGGAAGAGAUACUUCAGAUCCAAGAAGAAAUUCUCAAAGCCAAGGCACAAGAUGAUCCAGAGCUCGAAUAA
rnacentral:rRNA from 1 species